UAAUAGAGCAGCAGGAAAUGCUAGCAGAAUGCUUGGUUGUAUAGGGAGAGGUAUUAGCAGUAGAAAGAGGGAAGCGCUCAUGCCAUUGUACAGAACACUGGUGAGACCUCACUUGGAGUAUUGUACACAGUACUGGAGACCGUAUCUUCAGAAGGAUAUUAAUACCUUAGAGAGGGUUCAGAGAAGGGCUACUAAACUGGUUCAUGGAUUGCGGGAUAAAACUUACCAGGAAAGGUUAAAGGAUCUUAAC